rnacentral:rRNA from 1 species
ACGAACGCUGGCGGCGUGCUUAACACAUGCAAGUCGAACGGAAAGGCCCUGCUUUUGUGGGGUGCUCGAGUGGCGAACGGGUGAGUAACACGUGAGUAACCUGCCCUUGACUUUGGGAUAACUUCAGGAAACUGGGGCUAAUACCGGAUAGGAGCUCCUGCUGCAUCGUGGGGGUUGGAAAGUUUCGGCGGUUGGGGAUGGACUCGCGGCUUAUCAGCUUGUUGGUGGGGUAGUGGCUUACCAAGGCUUUGACGGGUAGCCGGCCUGAGAGGGUGACCGGCCACAUUGGGACUGAGAUACGGCCCAGACUCCUACGGGAGGCAGCAGUGGGGAAUAUUGCACAAUGGGCGGAAGCCUGAUGCAGCAACGCCGCGUGCGGGAUGACGGCCUUCGGGUUGUAAACCGCUUUCGCCUGUGACGAAGCGUGAGUGACGGUAAUGGGUAAAGAAGCACCGGCUAACUACGUG